AACGAGGCCGACCUGCGGCUGAGUUACCUGCGGAGGGAUCAUUAAUAAAUGUUACUUCGGUAACUUAAUUAAUCCCUAACACCUGUGCAUCUUGUCGCUUCGGCGUCAUUUUAUAAACAUCAGUGUAAUGAAUGUAACGUAUUAUAACAAAUACAACUUUUAGCAAUGGAUCU
rnacentral:misc_RNA from 1 species